GACAGAGGGUGCAAACGUUGUUCGGAAUUACUGGGCGUAAAGCGUGUGUAGGCGGCUUUGCAAGUCGGAUGUGAAAGCCCUGGGCUCAACCCAGGAAGUGCACUCGAUACUGCAGAGCUUGAGUGUCGGAGAGGUUGGUGGAAUUCUCGGUGUAGAGGUGAAAUGCGUAGAUAUCGAGAGGAACACCUGCGGCGAAGGCGGGUUGCUGGGCUGAUACUGACGCUGAGGCGCGAAAGCCAGGGGAGCGAACGGG
rnacentral:rRNA from 1 species